CAUUGAUCAAAUGCUUAGAAACAGCUAGUACUAAAUAUUAUUGAUAACUAAUAAUAUUGUAUUACUAGCUAAAAUAUUAUUGUAUGUAUAAUAAUAUGAUAUCUGUACUGAGAUUUGUUUUUUUGUUUCUAACAAUUAUUUUAGUAACAGGCUAUUUUGUGAUACCAACGAUGUCUAGUGCCCUGUGUAAAUGUUACAGGAUUGUAACUUAUAUGUGUUGGAAAGAAUGUAGGAGGAAAUAUGGAAAGAAAGGAUAAAUUUUUACACUUCCAUAGAGUGAU